CCUACGGGUGGCAGCAGUGAGGAAUAUUGGUCAAUGGCCGGAAGGCUGAACCAGCCAAGCCGCGUGAGGGAGGAAGGCGCAGAGCGUCGCAGACCUCUUUUGCCGGGGGACAAAAUGACGGACUCGUCCGGUUCUGAGGGUACCCGGAGAAAAAGCAUCGGCUAACUCCGUGCCAGCAGCCGCGGUAAUACGGAGGAUCCGAGCGUUAUCCGGAUUCAUUGGGUUUAAGGGGGGCGCAGGGGGGCAGUUAAGCCGGCGGUGAAAUCGCGGGGCUCAACCGCGCAGAGCCGUCGGAACUGGGGGACUUGAGUGCAGCGGAGGCAUGCGGAAUGCGCGGUGUAGCGGUGAAAUGCAUAGAUAUCGCGCAGAACCCCGAUUGCGAAGGCAGCGUGCCGUGCCGCCACUGACGCUGAGGCACGAAAGCGCGGGGAUCGAACAGGAUUAGAUACCCUAGUAGUC
rnacentral:rRNA from 1 species